CAAACAUGACUAAUAUAGGAAGAAAACAAAACAAAUACCACCAUUCCUCCUAGAAAUUUCCCCCGCCGGUGCUCCUGACUAUUUUCCAAAGCUUCUCCCUGCAAAAUUUUCUUGAAUAUUUUGGGUUACCCACGUGGGAUUCAAAUCACCGUCUCCGACAAUGAAGAAGAAAACAAAUUUCACCGCUUUGAAGAGCAAAUUUCACAGCUUCACAUCAUUGUCGGCAUUGUUGCUGCCGUAAGGCUGUCGAAGUUGGUCAUCCAAAGCUCUGCUCCCGCCGUUGCAAAUCCUGCACCAACAGGAAGUGGCAAAACAAGACUUUUUGAGCUUUGCAUUUUGAGGCUGCUCUCAAGGUUCAUCUUUGUAGAAGGAAGAUUUAUUCACUUAAAAGGAACACUCAAAACAGUCGGCUUUCUACGAUUUUGUAUAUGGAAAAAUUUUAGAUAUUUAUUUGAACACUGAAAAGUUCAGAAGGUAAUUGAUUUCACGCCACCAAGACACCCACAGAUACUCUUUGUUUCAUUGACUUUGUAUUGUUGAUGACUGGGGGGACUUGUUCCUGGAGCAUGGUUUAGUACGCUGCCUAUCCUUUCUGCAGAAGUUUGAUGCAGUGACUUGGUAUCACAUUAAAGAUGGUGGCUUGAGUUUUUCAAUUAUAUAGCACUAGUGAUUUACAAUAAUUACGUCUUCACAUCAAGUUGGAUUUAUUUGAAAUAAUCAAAUAUUUCAUGCAUGUGAAGUUUUGAUCCAUAUCCUCAAUUGUAUUCUGAAAUGUUUUUUUCUUGCCAUAAAGAAAGAGAUAUAUUUGUGUA